GACGGUUGCAGAAGGAGGUGAAUGAGCUGAGAGCACUGAAACUUUCCCCACAGUUCUACAUGCAAAUGACCCCACCCACAACCCUCACCAUGUGCCCAUCAUGUGAGCGUGUGGCGGUCCCACCUCCCUCGUCGGAGGCUCGCUCCCACCAGAUGGCCACCACCCACCACCGUCCCAUCCCCAUCAACCCUUGGGCCACCGCCACUCCCAUCCCCCACCGCCCCUUCGACGCCCUCCAUCCUCGCUCCUGAUUAGCACAGUUGUCGAAGGGCUUUUUGGUCAUUAAAAAUUAUGUGUACGAAAGGAGAGGAAGGAG
rnacentral:lncRNA from 1 species